rnacentral:lncRNA from 1 species
GAAUUAUUUCGAUUCUAAUAGGACAAAUACGGUCAUUAAAAAACUGAAGCGAUGGUAGGUAUGCUGUGUGUGUGGCUGUUCUUUUUUUUACUCCCGGUUCGAUAAAGCUCAAAUAUUCAUAAAAUCUGUAGCUUGCAUGGAUUGUUUAGUGAAUAACCGCUAGAAAAAAAAAUCUGUUUAAUUCUUUAAAUUCACAAACCCAAC